GACGUAGGGCGCGAGCGUUGUCCGGAUUUAUUGGGCGUAAAGAGCUCGUAGGCGGCUUGUCGCGUCGACUGUGAAAACCCGCGGCUCAACCGCGGGCCUGCAGCCGAUACGGGCAGGCUAGAGUUCGGUAGGGGAGACUGGAAUUCCUGGUGUAGCGGUGAAAUGCGCAGAUAUCAGGAGGAACACCGAUGGCGAAGGCAGGUCUCUGGGCAUUAACUGACGCUGAGGUGCGAAAGCGUGGGGAAGCAAACAGG
rnacentral:rRNA from 1 species